rnacentral:rRNA from 1 species
GAUGAACGCUGGCGGCGUGCCUAAUACAUGCAAGUCGAGCGAACGGACGAGAAUCUUGCUUCUCUGAUGUUAGCGGCGGACGGGUGAGUAACACGUUGAUAACCUACCUAUAUUACGGGGAUAACUUCUGGAAACCGGAGCUACUACCUCAUAAUACUUUCAACCUGAUGGUUCAAGAGUGGAAGACGGUCUUGCUGACACAUAUAGAUGGAUCCGCGCUGCAUUAGCUAGUUGGUAAGGUAACGGCUUACCAAGGCAACGAUGCAUAGCCGACCUGGGAGGGUGAACGGCCACACUGGAACUGAGAAACGGUACAGACACCUACGGGAGGCCGCAGUAGGGAAUCUUCCGAAAUGGGGGGAAGGCUGCCGGAGGAACGCAGGGGGGGUGAAGAAGGUCUUCGGGUCGGAAAACUCUGUUAUUAGGGAAAAACAUAUGUGUACGUAACUGUGCACAGCUUGACGGUACCUAAUCAGAAAGCCACGGCUAACUACGUG